AAAACGAUUUUUUAUUAUUUUAACCCCGUAAGAUCAGCAAAAGAAGCGAAGGAAAGACACUGUAACAUAACACCUUUGUUUGCUUUGCUUGAUGCGGUGGUGACCAGUCUGAACGUGCAACUGCCGCAAGUACCGCACGUACCGCAACCAGUCUGCCAGAGCUUUAAAGGCUCUCUGCGGAUGAUGCUCGCUGGAAGCGGAGCCCCACGGAUCCGCGGCCAACAGCCCCACGGAUCCCCGACACGGCGAACGAAAGAGGAAGGUGAAAAUUUCUGCUAAGGCCUGGAUCCAACAUGGCGUCAGUUGAAAACGAGGCGCAAGAGGCAGGAUGUGCUGCGCUCGUGCAUCCGAAAAUUUUGAAGAAAAAAGCUAGUUUUGCUGUGAAUUUGUAUCAUUCGUUUGUGCUACGGAGCUUCUAAACCCGUGGACAUUGUUUGUGGGCAUGCGCGACAACGGAAAAUGCGUCCUGGCAUCAAUCAGCGUCGGACAGGCAGCGAAGCAGAGGAGUGUUGUGCGAAG